rnacentral:misc_RNA from 1 species
GACGGAGGGCGCAAGCGUUGUUCGGAAUUACUGGGCGUAAAGCGCGGGCAGGUGGUCUGUUAAGUCGUUUGUGAAAAUCCGGGGCUCAACCCCGUGAAAUGCGUACGAUACUGGCAGGCUGGAGAUCGGUAGAGGCUAGCGGAAUUCCUGGUGUAGCGGUGGAAUGCGUAGAUAUCAGGAAGAACACCCGUGGCGAAGGCGGCUAGCUGGGCCGAGUCUGACACUCAUCCGCGAAAGCGUGGGGAGCAAACAGG